CUCGAUUUCUUUAUUAUUGGACUAAUACUCUAGAUUCGUUGAUUUUUUAAAAGGACUUUCUGAGAUUAUGCAAUUAAACAUACAUUGUUCAUUUUAAUGUAUGUGAAUAUUAUUACUAAUACUUUAGACUGUUAUUUAGAAUGCAAAUGUCGGUCUCAGUCUAGAUCUGACCAGUAGGAAAUACUAAACAUCCUAAACAGCUGUUUUACAUUUAUUUGACGUUAGAAUAAAGUAAUCAACUGAGAAGACAGAAGAACCAAAAUUUGAGAAAAUAACAGGAGUGAAAAAUAUGUCAGACAGUAUGACAUUCCGUUCAGCACCGAAGUUCUUUGAGUUAUUUCAAAUUAUCUGCGUUGUAAUCUCACUUGGCGGAGGAAUAUUAAUAAUAUUGGACAAAGCCAUCAAAUCAUUAUUUUGCAAAUAUGGCAACCAAACGACAUCAAAACCGUUGUUUAUAUCUUUGUUUAUUGGAUUUCUCCAUCAGAUAUUCCUAACUUUAAAUUGGGCGUGAAAAACUUCCAAUUUGUGCAGUUUGGAUAUAUUAAUGAAAGAUAUGUAUUCUUUGCCAGUCGUCUGCUUCGUAUUGACCUUCACCCUACUUACACUAUCUCAAAGUUCAAUUUUGGGGUCAACUGCUCGGAAGUUUAUUUAUGCAACGUAUGUUUCAACUACCAUUUUAUUUGUUAUUGGAAUGAGAACAAUUUUUAAUCUAUGUUACUAUGGUUAUAAUUUUAAGCUGACAUUCGGAAGUUGUGACAUGUCUUUCGAAACGUCAUUGCACAAUCAGAUGAACAUCACAAUGUCAUCGUUUUUGUGUGCAUAUAACAGUCCAGUCUCGUGUUAUAUUUUGGAAUACACGUUAAUAUAUGUGCCAAGCACAGCAAUCCUGUUUAACAACAUACGAAUUACAUUAGAAAUAUUCAAACAAAAUUGGCAGAGAAAGUUUGGUACGAUUCAAGAAAAUGAGAAACAUGAUACCGAUGACAUGACACAGAAAUAUAUCUUAAUACUUUUCCUUUUGGUAAUAUGGAUUAUCAGACCAAUGUCCUGCAUAUUGAACCUAUGUUAUAGUUUUACGUCAGAAGACUUGAUUCCUAGUAUGACUAUUCUAAUUUUGUAUAUUUGUUUACCCUGGUAUUUUUCACAGCUAAUUGUUUUGCAGUCGUCUAAGAAUGAAAAGAAUUCAAUCACUUACACUCCACUUAAAUACACCGUUGAAAGUGUAUCGUAUAGUAAGUAAUUGUCGCGAAUAUUAAACUCAAUUACAAUGAA